rnacentral:rRNA from 1 species
AACGAACGCUGGCGGCAGGCCUAACACAUGCAAGUCGAGCGCCCCGCAAGGGGAGCGGCGGACGGGUGAGUAACGCGUGGGAACGUACCCUUUGCUACGGAAUAGCCUCGGGAAACUGGGAGUAAUACCGUAUGUGCCCUUCGGGGGAAAGAUUUAUCGGCAAAGGAUCGGCCCGCGUUGGAUUAGGUAGUUGGUGGGGUAAUGGCCUACCAAGCCGACGAUCCAUAGCUGGUUUGAGAGGAUGAUCAGCCACACUGGGACUGAGACACGGCCCAGACUCCUACGGGAGGCAGCAGUGGGGAAUCUUGGACAAUGGGCGCAAGCCUGAUCCAGCCAUGCCGCGUGAGUGACGAAGGCCUUAGGGUUGUAAAGCUCUUUUGGCGGGGACGAUAAUGACGGUACCCGCAGAAUAAGCCCCGGCUAACUUCGUG